GACAGAGGGGGCAAGCGUUGCUCGGAAUUACUGGGCGUAAAGGGCGCGUAGGCGGAAUGGCAAGUCGGUCGUGAAAUCCUUCGGCUCAACCGAAGAACGUCGAUCGAAACUGCCGUUCUUGAGGAUUGCAGAGGAGACUGGAAUUCCCGGUGUAGCGGUGAAAUGUGUAGAGAUCGGGAGGAACACCGGUGGCGAAGGCGGGUCUCUGGGCCCUACCUGACGCUGAGACGCGAAAGCGUGGGGAGCGAACCGG
rnacentral:rRNA from 1 species